rnacentral:rRNA from 1 species
GAUCAUAGCUCAGGACGAACGCUGGCGGCGCGCCUAACACAUGCAAGUCGAACGAGAGAGAAGGAGCUUGCUUCUUCGAUCGAGUGGCGAACGGGUGAGUAACGCGUGAGGAACCUGCCUCAAAGAGGGGGACAACAGUUGGAAACGGACUGCUAAUACCGCAUAAGCCCACGGGUCGGCAUCGACCUGAGGGAAAAGGAGCAAUCCGCUUUGAGAUGGCCUCGCGUCCGAUUAGCUAGUUGG